rnacentral:rRNA from 1 species
GAGUUCUGGGCCGCACGCGCGCUACACUGACCGAACCAGCGAGUUUAUUUCCUUGGCCGGAAGGCCUGGGUAAUCUUGUGAAAUUCGGUCGUGAUGGGGAUAGAGCAUUGCAAUUAUUGCUCUUCAACGAGGAAUACCUAGUAAGCGUGAGUCAUCAGCUCGCGUUGAAUUCGUCCCUGCCCUUUGUACACACCGCCCGUCGCUACUACCGAUUGAAUGGCUUAGUGAGGCCUUCGGAUUGGCUUCUGGGAGCCGGCAACGGCACCUAGUCGCUGAGAAGUUUGACGAACUUGGUCAUUUAGAGGAAGUAAAAGUCGUAACAAGGUUUCCGUAGGUGAACCUGCGGAAGGAUCAUUAAUGAAUUUUAGGACGUUCUUUUUAGAAGUCCGACCAUUUCAUUUUCUUACACUGUGCACACACUUCUUUUUACACACACUUUUAACACAUUAGUAUAAGAAUGUAAUAGUCUCUUAAUUGAGCAUAAACAAAAAUAAAACUUUCAGCAACGGAUCUCUUGGCUCUCGCAUCGAUGAAGAACGCAGCGAAUUGCGAUAAGUAAUGUGAAUUGCAGAAUUCAGUGAAUCAUCGAAUCUUUGAACGCACCUUGCACUCUUUGGUAUUCCGAAAAGUAUGUCUGUUUGAGUAUCAUGAAACUCUCAACCCCCCUAUUUUGUAAUGAAAUGGGCGUGGGCUUGGAUUAUGGUUGUCUGUCGGCGUAAUUGCCGGCUCAACUGAAAUACACGAGCCAACCCUUUUGAAAUAAACGGUUUGACUUGGCGUAAUAAUUAUUUCCCUAAGGACGUCUUCUUCAAAUAUAAAAGGGGCUUUCUAAGGCCCUUUAAGCCCUUUAAGCUUUUAAAUCUCAAAUCA